UGGGGAAUCUUGCGCAAUGGACGAAAGUCUGACGCAGCGACGCCGCGUGGGGGAUGACGGGUUUCGGCUUGUAAACCCCUGUUGCCCGGGACGAACUUCUUCCUUUGGGAAGAUUGACGGUACCGGGUGAGGAAGCACCGGCUAACUCCGUGCCAGCAGCCGCGGUAAUACGGAGGGUGCGAGCGUUGUCCGGAAUCACUGGGCGUAAAGGGCGCGUAGGUGGCGCGGCAAGUCAACGGUGAAAGCUCGACGCUCAACGUCGAGUCGGCCGUCGAUACUGCCGCGCUGGAGCACUGUAGAGGCAGAUGGAAUUCCGGGUGUAGCGGUGGAAUGCGUAGAGAUCCGGAAGAACACCGGUGGCGAAGGCGGUCUGCUGGGCAGUAGCUGACACUGAGGCGCGACAGCGUGGGGAGCAAACAG
rnacentral:rRNA from 1 species